GUUGAACGCUGGCGGCGUGCCUAAUACAUGCAAGUCGAGCGAACGGACGAGAAGCUUGCUUCUCUGAUGUUAGCGGCGGACGGGUGAGUAACACGUGGAUAACCUACCUAUAAGACUGGGAUAACUUCGGGAAACCGGAGCUAAUACCGGAUGAUAUUUUGAACCGCAUGGUUCAAAAGUGAAAGACGGUCUUGCUGUCACUUAUAGAUGGAUCCGCGCUGCAUUAGCUAGUUGGUAAGGUAACGGCUUACCAAGGCAACGAUGCAUAGCCGACCUGAGAGGGUGAUCGGCCACACUGGAACUGAGACACGGUCCAGACUCCUACGGGAGGCAGCAGUAGGGAAUCUUCCGCAAUGGGCGAAAGCCUGACGGAGCAACGCCGCGUGAGUGAUGAAGGUCUUCGGAUCGUAAAACUCUGUUAUUAGGGAAGAACAUAUGUGUAAGUAACUGUGCACAUCUUGACGGUACCUAAUCAGAAAGCCACGGCUAACUACGUG
rnacentral:rRNA from 1 species